UGGGGAAUUUUGGACAAUGGGCGAAACCNUGAUCCAGCCAUGCCGCGUGCAGGAUGAAGGCCUUCGGGUUGUAAACUGCUUUUGUACGGAACGAAAAGACUCUGGUUAAUACCUGGGGUCCAUGACGGUACCGUAAGAAUAAGCACCGGCUAACUACGUGCCAGCAGCCGCGGUAAUACGUAGGGUGCAAGCGUUAAUCGGAAUUACUGGGCGUAAAGCGUGCGCAGGCGGUUAUAUAAGACAGAUGUGAAAUCCCCGGGCUCAACCUGGGAACUGCAUUUGUGACUGUAUAGCUAGAGUACGGCAGAGGGGGAUGGAAUUCCGCGUGUAGCAGUGAAAUGCNUANAUAUGCGGAGGAACACCGAUGGCGAAGGCAAUCCCCUGGGCCUGUACUGACGCUCAUGCACGAAAGCGUGGGGAGCAAACAGGAUUAGAUACCCUGGUAGUCCACGCCCUAAACGAUGUCAACUGGUUGUUGGGUCUUCACUGACUCANUAACGAANCUAACGCGUGAAGUUGACCGCCUGGGGGAGUACGGCCGCAAGGUUUG
rnacentral:rRNA from 1 species